rnacentral:rRNA from 1 species
GUGAACGCUGGCGGUAGGCCUAACACAUGCACGUCGAACGGCAGCACAGUAAGAGCUUGCUCUUACGGGUGGCGAGUGGCGGACGGGUGAGGAAUACAUCGGAAUCUACUUUUUCGUGGGGGAUAACGUAGGGAAACUUACGCUAAUACCGCAUACGACCUACGGGUGAAAGCAGGGGAUCUUCGGACCUUGCGCGAUUGAAUGAGCCGAUGUCGGAUUAGCUAGUUGGCGGGGUAAAGGCCCACCAAGGCGACGAUCCGUAGCUGGUCUGAGAGGAUGAUCAGCCACACUGGAACUGAGACACGGUCCAGACUCCUACGGGAGGCAGCAGUGGGGAAUAUUGGACAAUGGGCGCAAGCCUGAUCCAGCCAUACUGCGUGGGUGAAGAAGGCCUUCGGGUUGUAAAGCCCUUUUGUUGGGAAAGAAAAGCAGCAGGUUAAUACCCCGCUGUUCUGACGGUACCCAAAGAAUAAGCACCGGCUAACUUCGUG